GAAACAGCUUGCUGUUUCGCUGACGAGUGGCGGACGGGUGAGUAAUGUCUGGGAAACUGCCUGAUGGAGGGGGAUAACUACUGGAAACGGUAGCUAAUACCGCAUAACGUCGCAAGACCAAAGAGGGGGACCUUCGGGCCUCUUGCCAUCGGAUGUGCCCAGAUGGGAUUAGCUAGUAGGUGGGGUAACGGCUCACCUAGGCGACGAUCCCUAGCUGGUCUGAGAGGAUGACCAGCCACACUGGAACUGAGACACGGUCCAGACUCCUACGGGAGGCAGCAGUGGGGAAUACUGCACAAUGGGCGCAAGCCUGAUGCAGCCAUGCCGCGUGUAUGAAGAAGGCCUUCGGGUUGUAAAGUACUUUCAGCGGGGAGGAAGGGAGUAAAGUUAAUACCUUUGCUCAUUGACGUUACCCGCAGAAGAAGCACCGGCUAACUCCGUGCCAGCAGCCGCGGUAAUACGGAGGGUGCAAGCGUUAAUCGGAAUUACUGGGCGUAAAGCGCACGCAGGCGGUUUGUUAAGUCAGAUGUGAAAUCCCCGGGCUCAACCUGGGAACUGCAUCUGAUACUGGCAAGCUUGAGUCUCGUAGAGGGGGGUAGAAUUCCAGGUGUAGCGGUGAAAUGCGUAGAGAUCUGGAGGAAUACCGGUGGCGAAGG
rnacentral:rRNA from 1 species